CCUGGAAAAACAAUCAUCCCCACAGGAAACUCCGGCAGGCUAGAGGUACAAUACAUGUAGAUCGUGUACUUGCAAGUGCGUACUAGUGGGAAAAUUUAAGGAUAACCUGAGUCUCAGAUCCCAAGUGCAGUUCUUUGGAUAUGUCAGGAUUAGUUUUCUUGUGCACAAAAUUAAAGAAAGCCAGCUCUAAGACUAAGCAGGCAGAAACUAACAAGCCAUCUGGUUGAAUCAGCAAAGCUCCUGGUUUUUGAGGAGGAACCAAUGCUGGAGAAGGUUCACAUCGAUCUGGGAUAAAAUUCCAUACAUUCAGGCUUUUAUGUUACUCCAUAAUAAAGCUACCUCACGGGAAGGAACCCAACUGAUGGUCUGAAGAGAUGAGAGUAGACAAAAAUUUCCGACACCUGACCCCCUUCCCAAGAGUCAAAAUAAUGAGGAAUGGGGGAGGAAGAGAGGCAGACCCUGGAAAUCCUACAACCACCUGGCCAGACACAGACACAAGGACCAAUGCCCAAGCCACUGCCAGCUCCUCCACCUCCUCCAGGGACCUGAGAAGCAAGCAGAGAAAAAGCCCUUUCUGCAGGAGUGAGAGACAGGAAAUGAAGAUAAGAGCAAGUGAGUCCAGACUUGGAAUCUGUCUCCGGCCUCGCAGGCAGCAGCCUUAACACCUCUGCCUCCACCUCUCUUCCUGCUCCAGUACCACCACCUGGGCCGCUGAAGCUGCGGCUCCUAGACCAUCCCCGGCGCCUCCCCCACCAUCAACUCCUGCUCCUCCCACGCUCACUCUCCAGGAGCCCGAAGCCCCCCAGGCUAUUGGGCCUCCUCCUUAUGAAGUUCAAACUGGAGCAAUCCCACAUCAGCAUGAGGAGGCCUGAGGGAACUCCUGAACUUAAACCGCUAGCUCACUUCAUAUUUCCUCCGCAGGAACCCCAGGGAAGACUGACAGCAGGGAACAAACUGUUGAGUGGACACAGGUGCAACAUAUUCAGUAUUAAAGCUAAUUCAAAGUUGUUGGCUUAACUAAAAUGGACAUUUUUGUAGUUAUCGACAUCAAAUAUAAAGCAGAAAAUCAGCCUUUAUUCUACCUGAAUUUAUUAAAUUCAUGUUUAACUUAAAAUGAUAGCUAAACUUGUCUCAUGAAGUUUUCAUGGGCACUUGUCAAGAGCAAAUAGGCUAAACAAAGCUUAUAGCCUUCAAAAUCUCUGGUAAAUUAAAACUUUGAAGUUUUGCUCAUCUAUAUGAUAAAUUGGGUUGACUUCAUUGGAUAUUUAAGUUUUUCCAAAUAAGAUAAAAUACAGAAACAUUUAAUACUAAACA